AGUGAACGCUGGCGGUAGGCCUAACACAUGCAAGUCGAACGGCAGCACAGUAAGAGCUUGCUCUUACGGGUGGCGAGUGGCGGACGGGUGAGGAAUACAUCGGAAUCUACUUUUUCGUGGGGGAUAACGUAGGGAAACUUACGCUAAUACCGCAUACGACCUACGGGUGAAAGCAGGGGAUCUUCGGACCUUGCGCGAUUGAAUGAGCCGAUGUCGGAUUAGCUAGUUGGCGGGGUAAAGGCCCACCAAGGCGACGAUCCGUAGCUGGUCUGAGAGGAUGAUCAGCCACACUGGAACUGAGCCACGGUCCAGACUCCUACGGGAGGCAGCAGUGGGGAAUAUUGGACAAUGGGCGCAAGCCUGAUCCAGCCAUACCGCGUGGGUGAAGAAGGCCUUCGGGCUGUAAAGCCCUUUUGUUGGGAAAGAAAAGCAGCAGGUUAAUACCCCGCUGUUCUGACGGUACCCAAAGAAUAAGCACCGGCUAACUUCGUG
rnacentral:rRNA from 1 species